rnacentral:rRNA from 1 species
AUACGUAGGGGGCAAGCGUUGUCCGGAAUUACUGGGCGUAAAGGGCGUGUAGGCGGCCGAGCAAGUCAAGUGUGAAAAGCCCCGGCUUAACCGAGGCAUUGCACAUGAAACUGCUUGGCUUGAGUGCAGGAGAGGGAAGUGGAAUUCCUAGUGUAGCGGUGAAAUGCGUAGAUAUUAGGAGGAACACCAGUGGCGAAGGCGACUUCCUGGACUGUAACUGACGCUGAGGCGCGAAAGCGUGGGUAGCAAACAGGAUUAGUUACCCUGGUAGUCCACGCCGUAAACGAUGGGUACUAGGUGUGGGUAGUUCACUCUAUCCGUGCCGCAGCAAACGCAAUAAGUACCCCGCCUGGGGAGUACGGCCGCAAGGUUGAA